UUCUCUGACUUAAAAGCGAAUCAUAAAAAGAGCCUUCAUUGUGAGUAACGCACAUCAGGGUACUCUUAGGUUGGAAUUUCUUAGGUUCCGAUUCACAGGUCUUCAUGUUUCCGUAAUAUUUUCUCACCCUGGAUUCUAUUCUGUUCGUAGGUAUUCCCAAUUUAGGUUUUCUUAAUCCAUAUUAAUUUUGCCUGCGUCUCAUCCUUGCAUUAAUUGGAUUAGGUUUAUAAAAUGGCUAAUCCGAAUCGAAAUCAACAUCAAUUCCAGUCGAACAUUUUAGGACUAAAGAAACAUUGGUAUUCCAAAUCCGGAUUAAUUUAUGGCUAUUAUACAAAAGAAAACUGCUCAUCCUUGCGUUAAUUGGAUUAUCUAUGUAAAAUGUUAAAUCCCAAUCGAGAAGAGUUCCUAAAUUUACUGCCCGAAAGGAUAGACGAAAUGGCAUCGCCGUUUGAUGGCGAACCAUAGCAGGUGCCAUAGGAAAAUCAGGCGUCGUUACUAGGAAGGAAAUGAGUUACAUGCUUAAGCAAAUUCGAGAGGAUGGUUUGUACACCAUUGACUGCUGCUAAAUAAAAAUUAAGGCCAGUAAACAGUGACAAGAUGAGCUACUUUAGGUGGAACACCUCACUCUCCACGCCAGAUGCUUAUUCUGUGUCGAUUAUUCCCUGUUAAUUUCUGUUUCACUGGAUGUGAAUCACUCGUAUCGAAUGUUCAGAACAUACAUCUUCCAGCAGGUGACUCCAAAAGGUCAUUUCAUGGAUUGGUAGAUGUGUUCCAAUUCCCUCGCUACUUCUAUUUAAUGCAGAUGUGGUUGGCUUCUUGAAAACCAUCACCAACAUCCAGGUGGGCUGGCGGGUAAUCCAUCCGACUGCACGAGAUCACAAUUGAGAAUGUUAGGGGAUCAACAAUGAUUAUUGCUCUAUGGGGUUCUGCCGUUAAUCAAGUUGGGAAUGACCCAAUUGAUUGCGACUCUAUUCCAUGUCCAGUGUUGGUAGCUGUUUGCUCCACUUUUGUGAAGAAUUACCAAGGGAAAAUCACCCUGUCGUCAACAAAUGCGGCGAAGGUCUACAACAAUGUAGACAUACCUGAAAUUAUCGAAAUGAGAGCAAGGUGGUUAAUUAACUUUCUAAGAAAGUAUUUCUCUGUUUCCACUUUGCCAUUAACUUAAUGUAUGCAGAUGGUAUCGGCUAUAAACAGUCCUAUUUGCCAGGCGAUGCUAACUUAUGCUGAAAAGAUGCUUGGCGAUGUUAAAACUAAAAGUGAAACUAGGCAUACCAAUGAAAGUAAUGCAGCUGUACAAGAAAAUGAAUUGGACUGGAGUGAGAGUCGUAAAACUAUUGCAGAAUUGUUUGAAAUAGUAUGGGAAAAUCACAGUUACAAUGUAUGUAUAUAUAAUCUACUCUCAACAUCAAUAUAGUCAAAGAAAAUUUCUUACAAAAAAUUAACUUUGUGUUACAACCAAGCGACAUCAAACAAUGGAGUGGUGAUGACAGUUUAUGCACAAGACAAUGUGCAAAGCAACAGCCACUCAAUUGAUAAAAGUAAAGGGUUGGUACUAUUUAAGGUUCCAAUAACCGGGUUAUGGAUUGUGUGGGUGAAUUUUGGUGCUCAAAGUGUCAGAUCCAUAAUGAUGUACGAUACCUAGGUUCUCAAUUCAGAUAAGUGUGGAAGAUCCUACAGAGACUACUAUCUUUGAGGCACCCGACUUGGAACUCCAAAAGAUUCUGCGAUGCACGGAAAUGGAGCUGCUACAUUUAGAAGAGUGAAUAAUGGAUGAUGAUUGCGAAACAUGUUAGACCUUCCCCUGUAGAUAUAAUCUUACCCGCUAGGGAAAGGGUAAAUAUCUUGGGUCGUGUAGCCAAUGUAGAUGAUCUUCAGUUAGAUGAACCAAAAAGGAAGCUUAUGCAUGCAAACAGCGAAAAACCUGUUCUUUCAUGCCUUAGCAUGAAUUUUUACGUGGUGUAUAGAUAACCAACUAAUGACAUUGUAUGCUCAUUAUAAGUAUAGUAGCUGUGUGUGAUAAUAAAAUGUAUCUCAACACAUUUCUUCUUUCUAAUGUUCUACAAUUUACAGAGAACAUUAUUUCUGAAAUCUAAGUCCAUCAUGUUGCCGCCAUCAGUUUUGAGAAUGUGGACAAAAAAGAGAAUAUUCUGUUGUGUAAAAUCGUCCAUGUAGCUCGUCAAUGUAGAUCAGUGGAGAGAUGUGAAUUGCAUAGUGAAUUUGUGAUUGUUUGCUACUGAAUUUUUUUUUUUUUCUUUAUUAAUCAAAAAUUUGUGCCAAUUCUGCGAUUCUUAAAUUUAUAUCUGGAUAUUCAU